GUACUGCUGAAGAGUCUCACAAAAGGAUGAAACGGUCGUCCAGUAC
rnacentral:hammerhead_ribozyme from 1 species